AACGAACGCUGGCGGCAGGCUUAACACAUGCAAGUCGAGCGCCCCGCAAGGGGAGCGGCAGACGGGUGAGUAACGCGUGGGAACCUACCCUUUUCUACGGAAUAACGCAUGGAAACGUGUGCUAAUACCGUAUACGCCCUACGGGGGAAAGAUUUAUCGGAGAAGGCAGGGCCCGCGUUGGAUUAGCUAGUUGGUGGGGUAAAGGCCUACCGAGGCGACGAUCCAUAGCUGGUCUGAGAGGAUGAUCAGCCACAUUGGGACUGAGACACGGCCCAAACGCCUACGUGAGGAAGCAGUGGGGAAGAUUGGACAAUGGGCGCAAGCCUGAUCCAGCCAUGCCGCGUGAGUGAUGAAGGCCCUAGGGUUGUAAAGCUCUUUCACCGGAGAAGAUAAUGACGGUAUCCGAAGAAGAAGCCCCGUCUAACUUCGUGCCAGCAGCCGCCGUAACAC
rnacentral:rRNA from 1 species